UACGUAGGGCGCAAGCGUUGUCCGGAAUUAUUGGGCGUAAAGAGCUCGUAGGCGGCUUGUCACGUCGAUUGUGAAAGCCCGAGGCUUAACCUCGGGUCUGCAGUCGAUACGGGCUAGCUAGAGUGUGGUAGGGGAGAUCGGAAUUCCUGGUGUAGCGGUGAAAUGCGCAGAUAUCAGGAGGAACACCGGUGGCGAAGGCGGAUCUCUGGGCCGGUACUGACGCUGAGACGCGAAAGCGUGGGGAGCGAACAGG
rnacentral:rRNA from 1 species